UGUUCGGUUGGUCCGGGAUCGACAGGGAUUACGGUCCAAUCCACGUGGAUCAUCCCGGCGUGUAAAGUUUCCCGGCCCACGCUUAAAAUUGUGUUCGGUUAGCCCACCUGGUAUCCUUUUCCCGUCUUUUCCCGGCCAUUUUCAUGAAGUUCGUCCCGGGAACUCACCCACGCCGCAGGGACGUGGAACAUUUCCACGCAAAGGCGAGAGAGGGAGGGCGACAUAUGUGGCUCAUGAGGCGGAGGCGACGGCGGCGGCGCGCUAGGCUGCAGCAGUGGGGGCUACCUACGCAGCAAACUACAAUCUGCAUGCCCUUCCAUACCUUAUCCUCUUUGCAACAACUGGCUGGAUCUAUGCAAGGUACAUGCCCGAUUCGAUGCUGAGAAGGAAGAUAUAGCUUCUCCCUCGACCUUGUUUGUCUCUGUCUCCUCCGGUGGCUAAUUUCUAUCCGAUCGGAUGGUAAGAUGAUGGCUAGAUGUGGCUAGAGUUGCUGAAAGAGCUAAGGUCUGGACUAGUUGGACAACCAUAUUGUUGAUGUUUAGAUGAUGAAAUGUUAGAACCUACUCCAUCUGAUGUACUAUUAGUUGUCAUUUAGAACAGCGACACGGUCUCCAAAAUAUAACUUUCAUCAAUAUUUUUUGUUAAAAUACAAAUAAACUCUCAACAUUUAUACUUUUAUAAAAGUACUUAUUAUAACAAAUCGGUGUAUAUAAACAUUGUGUUUCAAAACUACAUAAUAAAAUAGUUAUUUGUAGUCAAAAUUUAUAAGUUUGAUUCAUGUCUUGAUCAAAACGACAACUAAUAGGACACCAGAUGGAGUAGGAAUAUAUUGUUGCCUUUUAACGGCUAAUACUCUGCAUGUCAAACUGUAACCAGAUUUACUAUUUCGAUUCGUAGUGGUUCUUUCUUACGAAUAUACAGUUGUUUGUGUUCUAGUUAUUUGUGCAGAUGUCAAGCCUAGUGGUCUUUAUGCAUUCAAGCAAUUUGUAUUUUUAUUCCAUUGUAAAUAUUUUUUUUCUUUAUCAACUCACCCUGCUUUAGUUUUGACGAGGAAAGACUCAACAAGAUUGAGCUGUUUUGAUUGCA